rnacentral:rRNA from 1 species
GGUAUGUAAACUUCUAUCAGCAGGGAAGAAAAUGACGGUACCUGACUAAGAAGCCCCGGCUAACUACGUGCCAGCAGCCGCGGUAAUACGUAGGGGGCAAGCGUUAUCCGGAUUUACUGGGUGUAAAGGGAGCGUAGACGGAUGGACAAGUCUGAUGUGAAAGGCUGGGGCUCAACCCCGGGACUGCAUUGGAAACUGCCCGUCUUGAGUGCCGGAGAGGUAAGCGGAAUUCCUAGUGUAACGGUGAAAUGCGUAGAUAUUAGGAGGAACACCAGUGGCGAAGGCGGCUUACUGGACGGUAACUGACGUUGAGGCUCGAAAGCGUGGGGAGCAAACAGGAUUAGAUACCCUGGUAGUCCACGCGGUAAACGAUGAAUGCUAGGUGUCGGGGAGCAAAGCUCUUCGGUGCCGCCGCAAACGCAUUAAGCAUUCCACCUGGGGAGUA